CUGGAAUAGGUGUGCAGGACCGUUAGUUCUGAGUACUGGGUGCCACCCAGGGGCCUCCCAAAGGGAUCCAGUUUUUGUCUGAGGAAGCCUCUGGAGCUCAUCAUUUUUUUUUCCAAAUAAGGAAGACAUUGGAAAAUAGAGAACCUAAGAACAGAAACUGGAUUAGCUGUCCUUCCAAAAGACAGGAGCAGCAGCUGGACUCCGUGAUUACUGAAGAAACUCGCUCAUGAUUCUGGAGAUAUGGUUCUGCUGAGGACGUCUGGCUUGAACAUCAGUAGUUAAGGCUUUCAUGUCCAUGGGUGGUUUAGAGUUGACCUCCUGAUCUCUGCUGUUGGUCACUGACCAUGGGAAAUUAAGAAUUUAAAACAGCACAAUGCUGGAAAUGCUGAUUGUAGAAAGUUUGAUGGAAGAAUUUAUUAAAAUAUUUAUUCAUUUGGCCGUGUUGGGUCUUAGUUGCGGCAUGCAGAAUCUUUCAUUGUGGCGUGUGGGCCUCUCUACUUGUGGCAGUCAGAUUCUAGAGUAUGGGCUCUGUUGCCCCAUGACAUGAAGGAUCUUAAUUCCCAGGCCAGGGAUGGAACCCAUGUUCUCUACGUUGGAAGGCAUAUUUU